rnacentral:rRNA from 1 species
GUUAUAUGGUCAAGUGAAGAAGCGCAUACGGUGGAUGCCUUGGCAGUCAGAGGCGAUGAAAGACGUGGUAGCCUGCGAAAAGCUUCGGGGAGUCGGCAAACAGACUUUGAUCCGGAGAUCUCUGAAUGGGGGAACCCACCUAGGAUAACCUAGGUAUCUUGUACUGAAUCCAUAGGUGCAAGAGGCGAACCAGGGGAACUGAAACAUCUAAGUACCCUGAGGAAAAGAAAUCAACCGAGAUUCCCUUAGUAGUGGCGAGCGAACGGGGAUUAGCCCUUAAGCUUAAUUGAUUUUAGCGGAACGCUCUGGAAAGUGCGGCCAUAGUGGGUGAUAGCCCCGUACGCGAAAGGAUCUUUGAAGUGAAAUCGAGUAGGACGGAGCACGAGAAACUUUGUCUGAACAUGGGGGGACCAUCCUCCAAGGCUAAAUACUACUGACUGACCGAUAGUGAACCAGUACCGUGAGGGAAAGGCGAAAAGAACCCCGGAGAGGGGAGUGAAAUAGAACCUGAAACCGUAUGCGUACAAGCAGUGGGAGCCUACUUGUUAGGUGACUGCGUACCUUUUGUAUAAUGGGUCAGCGACUUAUAUUCAGUGGCAAGCUUAACCGUAUAGGGUAGGCGUAGCGAAAGCGAGUCUUAAUAGGGCGUUUAGUCGCUGGGUAUAGACCCGAAACCGGGCGAUCUAUCCAUGAGCAGGUUGAAGGUUAGGUAACACUGACUGGAGGACCGAACCCACUCCCGUUGAAAAGGUAGGGGAUGACUUGUGGAUCGGAGUGAAAGGCUAAUCAAGCUCGGAGAUAGCUGGUUCUCCUCGAAAGCUAUUUAGGUAGCGCCUCAUGUAUCACUCUGGGGGGUAGAGCACUGUUUCGGCUAGGGGGUCAUCCCGACUUACCAAACCGAUGCAAACUCCGAAUACCCAGAAGUGCCGAGCAUGGGAGACACACGGCGGGUGCUAACGUCCGUCGUGAAAAGGGAAACAACCCAGACCGCCAGCUAAGGUCCCAAAGUUGUGGUUAAGUGGUAAACGAUGUGGGAAGGCUUAGACAGCUAGGAGGUUGGCUUAGAAGCAGCCACCCUUUAAAGAAAGCGUAAUAGCUCACUAGUCGAGUCGGCCUGCGCGGAAGAUGUAACGGGGCUCAAACCACACACCGAAGCUGCGGGUGUCACGUAAGUGACGCGGUAGAGGAGCGUUCUGUAAGCCUGUGAAGGUGAGUUGAGAAGCUUGCUGGAGGUAUCAGAAGUGCGAAUGCUGACAUGAGUAACGACAAUGGGUGUGAAAAACACCCACGCCGAAAGACCAAGGGUUCCUGCGCAACGUUAAUCGACGCAGGGUUAGUCGGUUCCUAAGGCGAGGCUGAAAAGCGUAGUCGAUGGGAAACAGGUUAAUAUUCCUGUACUUCUGGUUACUGCGAUGGAGGGACGGAGAAGGCUAGGCCAGCUUGGCGUUGGUUGUCCAAGUUUAAGGUGGUAGGCUGAAAUCUUAGGUAAAUCCGGGGUUUCAAGGCCGAGAGCUGAUGACGAGUCGUCUUUUAGAUGACGAAGUGGUUGAUGCCAUGCUUCCAAGAAAAGCUUCUAAGCUUCAGGUAACCAGGAACCGUACCCCAAACCGACACAGGUGGUCGGGUAGAGAAUACCAAGGCGCUUGAGAGAACUCGGGUGAAGGAACUAGGCAAAAUGGCACCGUAACUUCGGGAGAAGGUGCGCCGGCUAGGGUGAAGGAUUUACUCCGUAAGCUCUGGCUGGUCGAAGAUACCAGGCCGCUGCGACUGUUUAUUAAAAACACAGCACUCUGCAAACACGAAAGUGGACGUAUAGGGUGUGACGCCUGCCCGGUGCCGGAAGGUUAAUUGAUGGGGUUAGCGCAAGCGAAGCUCUUGAUCGAAGCCCCGGUAAACGGCGGCCGUAACUAUAACGGUCCUAAGGUAGCGAAAUUCCUUGUCGGGUAAGUUCCGACCUGCACGAAUGGCGUAACGAUGGCGGCGCUGUCUCCACCCGAGACUCAGUGAAAUUGAAAUCGCUGUGAAGAUGCAGUGUAUCCGCGGCUAGACGGAAAGACCCCGUGAACCUUUACUGUAGCUUUGCACUGGACUUUGAGCCUGCUUGUGUAGGAUAGGUGGGAGGCUUUGAAGCGUGGACGCCAGUUCGCGUGGAGCCAUCCUUGAAAUACCACCCUGGCAUGCUUGAGGUUCUAACUCUGGUCCGUAAUCCGGAUCGAGGACAGUGUAUGGUGGGCAGUUUGACUGGGGCGGUCUCCUCCUAAAGAGUAACGGAGGAGUACGAAGGUGCGCUCAGACCGGUCGGAAAUCGGUCGCAGAGUAUAAAGGCAAAAGCGCGCUUGACUGCGAGACAGACACGUCGAGCAGGUACGAAAGUAGGUCUUAGUGAUCCGGUGGUUCUGUAUGGAAGGGCCAUCGCUCAACGGAUAAAAGGUACUCCGGGGAUAACAGGCUGAUACCGCCCAAGAGUUCAUAUCGACGGCGGUGUUUGGCACCUCGAUGUCGGCUCAUCACAUCCUGGGGCUGAAGCCGGUCCCAAGGGUAUGGCUGUUCGCCAUUUAAAGUGGUACGCGAGCUGGGUUUAGAACGUCGUGAGACAGUUCGGUCCCUAUCUGCCGUGGACGUUUGAGAUUUGAGAGGGGCUGCUCCUAGUACGAGAGGACCGGAGUGGACGAACCUCUGGUGUUCCGGUUGUCACGCCAGUGGCAUUGCCGGGUAGCUAUGUUCGGAAAAGAUAACCGCUGAAAGCAUCUAAGCGGGAAACUUGCCUCAAGAUGAGAUCUCACUGGGAACUUGAUUCCCCUGAAGGGCCGUCGAAGACUACGACGUUGAUAGGCUGGGUGUGUAAGCGUUGUGAGGCGUUGAGCUAACCAGUACUAAUUGCCCGUGAGGCUUGACCAUAUAACACCCAAACA